UACAGAGGGUGCGAGCGUUGUUCGGAAUUAUUGGGCGUAAAGGGCGCGUAGGCGGUGUGGUAAGUCACCUGUGAAAUCUCCUGGCUCAACUGGGAGUCUGCAGGCGAAACUGCCGUGCUGGAGUAUGGGAGAGGUGCGUGGAAUUCCUGGUGUAGCGGUGAAAUGCGUAGAUAUCAGGAGGAACACCUGUGGCGAAAGCGGCGCACUGGACCAUAACUGACGCUGAGGCGCGAAAGCGUGGGGAGCAAACAGG
rnacentral:rRNA from 1 species